UAAAUGUAAAAGCAAAAGUAACUAAAUAUUAGCUUGGUGUGUAAUCCAAAUAAUGCAACCCGGAAAGUGCAAUUUACAACUUCGCUCAAUGACGGAAAUGUCAUUCUCACUCACACUCACUCACUCUUUUGUCUCUGCUACAGAGAAUUUGAUUAUGGAAAACAACAUACGAUGUGAAAGAUAUAACAAAACUGUUUGGUUUAUGCCUUGCAGGUUGACAAAGGACCCUGAAUAUUAAAAACUUGCAUUGUGCUGUGCUCUCUCAUGGUCAGAGGGGGGCGGAGAGCAGGCAAGGAAGUGCAUGAUGACAAAGGAAUAAAAAGAACUGAGGAAGGUUACUGUGUAUUUGUAUGGAAAAGAACAAUGAAGUUGAUCCCUGGAGCUGAAAACAGGUUUCUGUAUGAUGCAAAUGCCAGUACAAGCCUGGUGUUAGUGGCUUAGAAGAGCUGCAGGAAGAGCCAAAGGAGAGGAGGCACGAGUGGAAUUCAAAGAAGUGAAGCACCUCGUCUGCUGACAGCCUGCUGGCCGUCCCUCCGAAGACAGGUCAGGUGUGAAAUGAGAACUGCUCAACCAGAGCUCUUUUUGUCUGAUCUGCACGUGAGUUUCUGCACUUUAUUUGUGAGUGCCUGCAUGUAUGUAGGACACAGAGGACCCCGUGCACCUCCACAUGUCUUUGUGCAUGAAGAAGCUGGCGUUGCAUUUACAGCCUACACUCACUGUUAUGAAAGACUUGUCUCCGGUUUGUUUCUUUUUGUUUUGUUAGAUUUAGAACUAGAGUAUUGCACACAACACGCUUAAAACUUUGUGCCUGCUUGUCUCAUCAAUAGAUUGGACUGGAUGUUAAUUGAUAACCACUCCCAUAACCAGUGAGCAAAAAAGUCAGUGACUGUGGGAACGACAUGUAGCCCUUCUGAUGUGCAACUGGACAUGCUGCAGUAUUUAUGGAUUUGUCACCGUCAUAGCAACAUGGGUCUUUUUUGAAAAACGGGGAGGGAUGCAAACAAAAAAACUAUAGAGUUGUACCCAUUUGCAACACGAAGAAAUAAUGACAAACCAUCAAAACAGAAACCGUAUUUAAUUCCUGGAGAGUUUUUCACUCAGCAAACCCUACCUUAAGAGAAAGAAACUGAGCGUGCGUCCGAAAAGAGGUCAACCUGCCUGAAAUAUGUGUGUGUAGCCGUGAGCAUAAUGCAAACCUCUGCAAACAUUACCUUAAGAUUUAAGGGCACAAGCGUGCGUCCCAAACGAGGUCAACCCACCGCUGUGUGAAAUGUCUAGUGGUUGCAGCGAGCACGCCGCAGGCCUCAGCAAACACCAUCCCGUGAUUUAAGGCUGCAAGCACGCGUCCUAAACGAGUGAGUCAAGCGUCUGUGUGGUAGGAGGCAAAGCGAAAUGUUCAGCAAACGUUAGGAUAUUGACCUACUUUAAGGUUAAAUAUCGAUAAUAUUUAAAUAUAUAUAUAUGAAGCACUAAGCCUGCUACCGACCUCAACUUUUAGGUGUUGCUUUUCUGGGAGGGAUGCGAGCGUGGAUCCCGAGAGAGUUCAUGCUAUCUAGAUCAAGCAGUGAAUCCCCAGCCAACCACAUUUUAUUUAUUUAUUUACUCAUUAUUUAGUUAAAUUUGUACCCAAUCGCCGCCCCGUGUGAAAACUCCAACAUGUUUAAUGUUAAUUUAUACCGAUUUAAAAGGUAUUGAAUAAUCGUUCAGUUUCAAUGACAUGUGCCAGAAAAAUUCUCAUAGUAAUUUCAAGAUGGGUCACCCAGACGUUAUGACAACAACAAGAUUUAUACCUACUUAAACCAUCUGAGGAUUGUUUUAGGUUCAUUCCCUUAGCUAAACCAUUGCGCAGGUGUUUAACAACUUGUGAAUCACAUUCUGGACACGCCUGGCUUCAGCGAGUUGCCAAACUACCCUGCUGCCCACAGCACUGUUUGGGUUUUGUAGCUGCAAAUUGCUUGAGGGACCAGGGGUCUAAAAGGGAAGGAAGAAGUGCAGCGGAAUGUCCACAUGAGAUCAAGGUGACAGGAUGCAUUCGGCAUGCUCAAUUCCAUACGCCUAAGAUAAAGUGCUGGUAUUUUACAGCCUCUCUCUCACUUGGAAUGUUAUGCUUCCUGACAACGUUUUACUUGUAUCCAGCUGUACAGGAGGAAGCCACGUUCAUCGCAGAAUUUGAAGGGUUUAUUAAAAUCACAAUUACCGUUUAGUCGGAGAACAUGAGAGAUGGAGAACAAUGUCGAUUUAGAGAUAAAACUUUGGUGAAAAUGUUUCUGUGAAAUGCUGAGAACUGAUUGAAAGCAAUGUGAAGCAGCUAACACGGAUGAGUUGUAAUGUGAUUUGUGUGGUUUCACCUUUUCAUAGCGGAGCAGCAGAGAAAUGCUACACGCAUCUUUUGCACGUCACACGCUGACAUGUUUGGGGAGGCAUGGGCAGAUGCAUGUUCAUGAGAUGUCAAUGCCCUGCUGGAUGGUGAGG
ensembl:lncRNA